GCCUGGAUAGCUCAGUUGGUUACAGCCUGCUGCUGAUAACGCCAAGGUUGCAGGUUCUAUCCCCGUAUAGGACA